UGGCAAUGAGGAUGACAAUAUUGUAAUGACUUCACGUGAUUUUAAAAUACGCUAUUCUGAGCCUUGU